rnacentral:rRNA from 1 species
UAGGGAAUAUUAGAAAUGGACGAAAGUCUGAUCUAGCAACACCGCGUGUGCGAAGAAGGCCUUCGGGUUGUAAAGCACUUUUUGGAAGGAUUAGGAAGGAAUGUACUUCCAGAAUAAGUCUCGGCUAACUACGUGCCAGCAGCCGCGGUAACACGUAGGAGGCAAACGUUAUCCGGAUUUACUGGGCGUAAAGCGCGUGUAGGUGGUUCUGUAAGUAGGGCGUAAAAGCUCCUGGCUCAACUGGGAGGGGCCGCUCUAAACUGCAGAGCUAGAGGAUGGUAGAGGGAGGUGGAAUUCCGGGUGUAGCGGUGGAAUGCGCAGAUAUCCGGAGGAACACCAGUGGCGAAAGCGGCCUCCUGGACCAUUCCUGACACUCAGACGCGAAAGCUAGGGUAGCAAACGG